GAGGUCGAGAGGAAGUGUAACGCCCCAGGUAGACACGUACAUGGAGUGCCACACUAAAAUACACUCAAAACCACUAACUCCCAAAAUUAUUAGAAAUUUCGGCAAAGUCUCCCCUAUAAAUGUGGACAUCCACGACAAACAGUUAUAAAUUGAACUAAUAAUAAUAUUAUUCCCACAGAGUGAUCCAUCCAUAUAACCCAUGGAAAGAAACUAAAAGAUUAUUACAAGACCGAACCAUGAUAUAGUUUAAGUAUCAUUAUGGACCUAGGCAAUAUAGUUUGAUAGUGUGCAGAUAAAUGUGUAGAUAAGAGUGCUACUUCCCGCCCAUGCAUGUCAGUCUCACUGCGUACCUAAAACCAAAUAAAACACAAUAGUGAGUAUAGAAAUACUCAGCCAGAACAAUAUGGAACUAGAAAACAUAUAUACAUAUCAUUGGCAAUAAAGCAUAAACAGAAGACUUUCUUUCUUUGAUAGGAAACACAUUUUCAAACACAAAGUCAAAGAAGAUAGUAGUUUCCAUCCCGGGCAGACAUGAAUUGAAAUAGUAGUUCCCAUCCCAGGCAGGCAUGAAUUGAAAUAGUAGUUUCCAUCCCGGACAAUAGUGAAUACAUCCUAGCAUUUGCCGGCAAAGCCGAGUAAGCGUGAUCAGCGCUUACCCAUAGGAACUUGAAUAAAGAACCAAAUUGCACUCCCAUGACUACGCAUGGUACUUGAAUAAUUGAAACCGGAAUCAAAGAACCAAAUUGAAACCAUAUUGCACAUCCAUAGCAAGCAGGGAACAUGAAUUAUUUAAGCAGAACCAGAAUCCAGAAUAUUAAAACAAGAAUAACAUCGUACACAUAAGAUCAACUUGAAAUCUAAAUGGCGUGAACAAUAAUAUGAACAUAAGCAGUUAAUUAUCACGUAGAAAUAUAUCAGAAACAAAUAGAUAGAGUAAACAAUCCAUGAAUAACUCAAUUUGUUCGUCAUGCAACCCGACGUAACACUCUCCACACCGGAUCUCUCCACACAUGCGGAGUAAAACUACGCACAAACCACUAUAUUCAACUAACGGUAGUUACAAGGGGUAUUUACUAAAAUCGACACAUAUAACAUAUAAACUUUUUACCGAUUGUAUUAAACAACCUAUAGCAGUUCUAUUACUGUUUUAUGCGUAACUAGCAAACCGUCUAACAGAAUCUAGCAAUUAAUACAACCUCGGACAUCUAGGCAAAAUUGUCUACAGCUUUCAUGUUAAGCACAACAUCAGAUUAUGCCUCUGAAAAUCCCAGAUUAAGGAAAACGAAUUGUUGUCCUGAUUUCCGGACCCGGUCAGCAGUACUGUUUCUAUUGUUUCUCCUAAACCGUUUAUCGGAAUCGAGCGAAACCAGCGGCGUUAGAAAGAUAUCGGCGAUGACUACAAACUUUAUAUAGAACAACUAAUCUGAAUCCUGAUAGUUUAAUACCAGAUUUGAAAAAUACUAUUAUCAGCCUCUAAUCAGCAAAUAUGAAAACACUCAACCGGCAAUUUAAUCUAUUCCCACGUGAAAAUUGUAUUUCUAUGGACCAAGAGGAGUUACCCUUGCAGAGGAGAAAAAUCAAAUUUGAGGUCAAUUUGUGAAAACCCAAAAAAUCCCCGACUUUUGCCUCUCUUCCCUUUUUUUUCCCUUCUUUUCUCCUCCUGCUUUCCCUGCUUCCUGAAACUUCUCUCUGUUCCUUCAAGAAGCACAGCAGCAGACCAGCAUCAGCAGCAGCAGCGAGGAAUAUCAUAUCGAUGGCAGCAGCAGCAGCAAGGAUUGGCGGCAGCACUCACCAAGAAGGAGCCGAGCAGGAGUGGCGUUGGACGGCGAUGGGUGAAUCUGCUGCGACGGCGCAACGACGGCAGCGGCAACAAGGGCACACGAGGCGGCGGCUAGGGUUAGCUGCUAGCGUUGCCCUUUUUUUUAAUUUUCUUUUUUUUCUAUUGGUUAAAUAGAGAGGCUACUAAAUAUCGAACGGCUCACAUUAAUUCAAUCCCCGGGACUUUGUUCGGACUCCGAUUACUAUAAACUUAUUUUGCACUACUCGGCGACCUCUACACAUCCACGGUUCCUGAUCACCUAUUCAAGCAACGGUUUAAAAGUUAAACUUUUACGCAUUUGUUCUAAUAUUUCUCGAAAUACACUAAUUUGAAACUCUGGGUAUUACAUGAAGAAGAGAGAGGUAGAGGUGGGAGGUC
rnacentral:lncRNA from 1 species